AAUCCAUAGGUUAAUGAGGCGAACCGGGGGAACUGAAACAUCUAAGUACCCCGAGGAAAAGAAAUCAACCGAGAUUCCCCCAGUAGCGGCGAGCGAACGGGGAGGAGCCCAGAGCCUGAAUCAGCAUGUGUGUUAGUGGAAGCGUCUGGAAAGGCGCGCGAUACAGGGUGACAGCCCCGUACACAAAAGCGCAUGUGCUGUGAGCUCGAUGAGUAGGGCGGGACACGUGGUAUCCUGUCUGAAUAUGGGGGGACCAUCCUCCAAGGCUAAAUACUCCUGACUGACCGAUAGUGAACCAGUACCGUGAGGGAAAGGCGAAAAGAACCCCGGCGAGGGGAGUGAAAAAGAACCUGAAACCGUGUACGUACAAGCAGUGGGAGCACCCUUUGGGUGUGACUGCGUACCUUUUGUAUAAUGGGUCAGCGACUUAUAUUCUGUAGCAAGGUUAACCGAAUAGGGGAGCCGGAGGGAAACCGAGUCUUAAUUGGGCGUUAAGUUGCAGGGUAUAGACCCGAAACCCGGUGAUCUAGCCAUGGGCAGGUUGAAGGUUGGGUAACACUAACUGGAGGACCGAACCGACUAAUGUUGAAAAAUUAGCGGAUGACCUGUGGCUGGGGGUGAAAGGCCAAUCAAACCGGGAGAUAGCUGGUUCUCCCCGAAAGCUAUUUAGGUAGCGCCUCGUGAAUUCAUCUCCGGGGGUAGAGCACUGUUUCGGCUAGGGGGCCAUCCCGGCUUACCAACCCGAUGCAAACUGCGAAUACCGGAGAAUGUUAUCACGGGAGACACACGGCGGGUGCUAACGUCCGUCGUGAAGAGGGAAACAACCCAGACCGCCAGCUAAGGUCCCAAAGUCAUGGUUAAGUGGGAAACGAUGUGGGAAGGCCCAGACAGCCAGGAUGUUGGCUUAGAAGCAGCCAUCAUUUAAAGAAAGCGUAAUAGCUCACUGGUCGAGUCGGCCUGCGCGGAAGAUGUAACGGGGCUAAACCAUGCACCGAAGCUGCGGCAGCGACGCUUAUGCGUUGUUGGGUAGGGGAGCGUUCUGUAAGCCUGCGAAGGUGGCCUGUGAGGGUUGCUGGAGGUAUCAGAAGUGCGAAUGCUGACAUAAGUAACGAUAAAGCGGGUGAAAAGCCCGCUCGCCGGAAGACCAAGGGUUCCUGUCCAACGUUAAUCGGGGCAGGGUGAGUCGACCCCUAAGGCGAGGCCGAAAGGCGUAGUCGAUGGGAAACGGGUUAAUAUUCCCGUACUUGGUGUUACUGCGAAGGGGGGACGGAGAAGGCUAUGUUGGCCGGGCGACGGUUGUCCCGGUUUAAGCGUGUAGGUGUGUGUUCCAGGUAAAUCCGGUUCACUUUAACACUGAGGCGUGACGACGAGGCACUACGGUGCUGAAGCAACAAAUGCCCUGCUUCCAGGAAAAGCCUCUAAGCAUCAGGUAACAUCAAAUCGUACCCCAAACCGACACAGGUGGUCAGGUAGAGAAUACCAAGGCGCUUGAGAGAACUCGGGUGAAGGAACUAGGCAAAAUGGUGCCGUAACUUCGGGAGAAGGCACGCUGACACGUAGGUGAAGUGAUUUACUCACGGAGCUGAAGUCAGUCGAAGAUACCAGCUGGCUGCAACUGUUUAUUAAAAACACAGCACUGUGCAAACACGAAAGUGGACGUAUACGGUGUGACGCCUGCCCGGUGCCGGAAGGUUAAUUGAUGGGGUCAGCGCAAGCGAAGCUCCUGAUCGAAGCCCCGGUAAACGGCGGCCGUAACUAUAACGGUCCUAAGGUAGCGAAAUUCCUUGUCGGGUAAGUUCCGACCUGCACGAAUGGCGUAAUGAUGGCCAGGCUGUCUCCACCCGAGACUCAGUGAAAUUGAACUCGCUGUGAAGAUGCAGUGUACCCGCGGCAAGACGGAAAGACCCCGUGAACCUUUACUAUAGCUUGACACUGAACAUUGAGCCUUGAUGUGUAGGAUAGGUGGGAGGCUUUGAAGUGUGGACGCCAGUCUGCAUGGAGCCGACCUUGAAAUACCACCCUUUAAUGUUUGAUGUUCUAACGUGGACCCGUUACCCGGGUUGCGGACAGUGUCUGGUGGGUAGUUUGACUGGGGCGGUCUCCUCCUAAAGAGUAACGGAGGAGCACGAAGGUUGGCUAAUCCUGGUCGGACAUCAGGAGGUUAGUGCAAUGGCAUAAGCCAGCUUGACUGCGAGCGUGACGGCGCGAGCAGGUGCGAAAGCAGGUCAUAGUGAUCCGGUGGUUCUGAAUGGAAGGGCCAUCGCUCAACGGAUAAAAGGUACUCCGGGGAUAACAGGCUGAUACCGCCCAAGAGUUCAUAUCGACGGCGGUGUUUGGCACCUCGAUGUCGGCUCAUCACAUCCUGGGGCUGAAGUAGGUCCCAAGGGUAUGGCUGUUCGCCAUUUAAAGUGGUACGCGAGCUGGGUUUAGAACGUCGUGAGACAGUUCGGUCCCUAUCUGCCGUGGGCGCUGGAGAACUGAGGGGGGCUGCUCCUAGUACGAGAGGACCGGAGUGGACGCAUCACUGGUGUUCGGGUUGUCAUGCCAAUGGCACUGCCCGGUAGCUAAAUGCGGAAGAGAUAAGUGCUGAAAGCAUCUAAGCACGAAACUUGCCCCGAG
rnacentral:rRNA from 1 species